AAAAUUUGGACGACACUACACAUAGUCUAUUCAAGAGCACAACUGACUACCAUGCUCUUCAAGCUUAAACAAAGACUACCCAUAACUAAGACUAGACACCACACAUAGAUAAGACGAAGUCUAGAAGAGUCAACAUAAGAAGAAGGUGUAGUGUACAUAUAAAUAUCACAAGACGCAACUGUGAAUUGUUUGAUCAUUUACUUGUUAUUAAUGUUGACUCAUGCAUUCCCAAUAUGAUUUUAACAUGGUAGACCAAGUUUGAGUUUGUAUACUCACUUUGGUAAUGUGUACCACAAAAGGAUUUGAAAACCAAAGGUUCUUACUUCACCACCAUCUUGGUUUAAAAAUGUUAGGGAUGAUUUUUUCAUACCUCCUAAUGGUUGUCACCAUUUAAGAGGACAUUUUCCAAAAGAUAUCAUCAUUCCUAAACAAAUAUUUCCAACUUGGUCGUUUUAUAGAACCUCCUUUUCUGAAAUCCCAUUGUUUCCAAAUGCUAAGUCAUGUUUUCCUUUUUCUUCCACUUUUAAUUGUAAGAAUAAA
rnacentral:lncRNA from 1 species